CUUCACUGCCACAGGGGCCUAAUACAUUAAUGGAUUCAACAAAGUGCAGGAGUAGAAUAUUUUGUAAAGAGAAGAAGUGAAUGGGGAACAUUUCAUGCUGGGAAACUGGAUAGUAAUUGAAAUAAUGAAGAUACCACAGCAGUACAGUACUUGUUUGAGAAAACUGGAUUGCAGAGGAGAUGGACAGAACAUGCUGCUGUAUGUUGGUGUGGAGUUUGUACGUAUAUACAAGACAAUGUAUCAGUGAACCCCUGAGGAAGUCCCAGAGAUGAACUAAGGGACGAAACGCGUUGGACACCUUCCGGCACUCCGCUCCUAUCUGAGGAAAUAACAGAUAAGCUCAUAUGCAUUUUUAAAUUACAUGCUGGUGGACAAUAAAAAUGAAAUCCUGGCACGCAGGAACCUCCUCAAACACAACUUCCUGCUGUUGGAAUGCAUAUGGAACACAAUCGAUGACUCACUUCCGGUGAACGGGUAAUAGGAGUGAUCAUUGCAAAAUUAAUGGCAGGUGAUGGGAAGUAUUCUAAGAACAGUGGAAUGGAUGUAAUGGACUGUCUUUAGAGGUUGUAUGACUCACAAAAGUAUAAGUGUCAGGAAGCGAGUGGAGAAAAUUGUGGCAGAUAUGCAGCACCCAGGUGACAAACUGUUUGAACCACUUCCAUCAGGCAGACGCUACAGGUCCAUUCCCGUGAAGUCAGCCAGAUCCAUUAAAAGCUUCUUCCCACUAGCUGUCCACCAGCUGAACAAUAUAUAAAAAGUCUGACAUGUAUAAUAUGUCUACUAUGUCGAGUCUAUUGUACAGUUGCAAUGUGCAGUAUGAACUCAUACGUGUAAUGUAUGUAAUGAAUGGUACAUUUUUCCCCCUUCUUAUGCUAUGUAUUCCCCCUUCAUGUUGCUGCUUGGCGAUGCAUUGUACUGCAAAAAAUUCCUAGUGUAUGUGAGUACACCCGGCCAAAAAAGCUGAUUCUGAUAAGUUAGUUGAUCAAUGUCUGGCAUUGGGUUUAUCCAAUUAGCACACGUGUAGUAUAAAUAUCAGGAACUAGGUGAGCCUUUCUAUGCCUUGAAAAAGACAACACUGGGGUGUCAAAACCAGUCGGCAGAAAGGAAUUGGACUCCACCUAACAGACGGGUAGUGCAUUUUAAGGGAUGCCUGAUGUGCUAUUUGUGAUCUUGCUCCUUUUUCCUACCUGGGUUGUAGGCAGUAUGUAAUGGUGAGAGACCAUUACCUCAUGUUUGCAUGUUUUUAUGUUUGUAAUAUAAUGGUAUUUUAACAUUGGAAGUUUCUAUUGUCUCCCAUAUGUAUCACUACCUAACCUGAGGUGACGGUGAGGAGGGAAGUCUCUUUCAAGGAAGGAACAUACAGAUGGUGGUUGAAUCUGCUCCUAUAGAUACACUUUUGUCUACUUAUAUCAGUAGACCAACACUUGCAGUAUGGGUCCCCCUGAAUUUUUGUUCACAUCUACGGUUCCGCCUGAAUUUUUAUUCACAUCUAUUUGGUUUUAUUCUGGAUUAAUUUAAAUACACUAAUGCCAAUAUUUACUAAAAAUCCGAGUUUGUCCGAUUUGUGUUUUUUUUUCUAAGUCCCAACACGGGAAUUCACUAAGCACAAAUCUCGGCAAUGUUUGGGCUAUUCGUAAUGGUUUGAAUGACAAAGUUCAGAAAUACGAAUGAAUAGACCAUCGGUCAAACACGGCUGUUAUUUCAUACAACACGGGUAUUCACUAUUCAUUCGUAUUUGGGUGUUAGUCUCUGAGUGCUCAAGUGCGGGUGUAUUUUUUUGCGAAUCGUUAAAAAAAGCAGCAAAAAAAUAGACCUGCUUUUUCCAGUCGAGUUUGGAUAACCAUGCACAGAUCAGUGAGAUCUGUGCAUGGUUAUCUAUGGGAAAGGGUCUGUUUACUGUAAAAACUUUGUAAAAAAUUUGCGUGGAGUCCCCCCUCCUAAGCAUAACCAGCCUCGGGCUCUUUGAGCCGGUCCUGGUUGAAAAAAUAUGGGGGGGAAAAUGACAGGGGUUCCCGCAUAUUUGAUCAACCAGCACUGGGCUCUGCGCCUGGUCCUGGUGCCAAAAAUACGGGGGACAAAAAGCGUAGGGGUCCCCCGUAUUUUUGGAACCAGCACCGGGCUCCACUAGUCAGAGAGAUAAUGCCACAGCCGGGGGACACUUUUAUCUUGGUCCUUGCGGCCCUGGCAUUAAAUCACUAACUAGUCACCCUUGGCCGGGGUACCCUGGAGGAGUGGGAACCCCUUAAAACAAGGGCCCCCCCCCCUCCAGCCACCCAAGGGCCAGGGGUGAAGCCUGAGGCUGCCCCCCCCCCAUCCAAGGGCGGCGGAUGGGGGGCUGAUAGCCUUGUGAAAAAAAUAGAAUAUUGUUUUUUGUAGCAGUACUACAAGUCCCAGCAAGCCUCCCCCACAAGCUAGUACUUGGAGAACCACAAGUAUCAGCAUGCGGGGGGAAAACGGGUUCGCUGGUACCUGUAGUACUAAUACAAAAAAAAUACCCAACAAAAAACAGGACACACACACCGUGACAGUAAAACUUUAUUACAUACAUGCACACCUACAUACAAACAUACUUACCUAUGUUCACACGAGGCUCGGUCCACUUCUCCAUGUAGACUCCACGGGGUACCUGAGAAAAAAAUUAUACUCACACAAUCCAGUGUAGCUUCUGUCCUCUUUGUAAUCCACGUACUUGGCAAAAAAAACAAAUCGAAAAAGCCGAACCACGCACUGA